rnacentral:rRNA from 1 species
UACGGAGGAUGCGAGCGUUAUCCGGAUUUAUUGGGUUUAAAGGGUGCGUAGGCGGUUCGUUAAGUCAGCGGUAAAAUUGCGGGGCUCAACCCCGUCGAGCCGUUGAAACUGGCGGACUUGAGUUGGCGAGAAGUACGCGGAAUGCGCGGUGUAGCGGUGAAAUGCAUAGAUAUCGCGCAGAACUCCGAUUGCGAAGGCAGCGUACCGGCGCCAGACUGACGCUGAGGCACGAAAGCGUGGGGAUCGAACAGG